AUCACCCUCUUCUACCAACAUCUGCAAAUUUAUGGUACAUGGAGGAUGCGUCCUGCUACUGAGAGUAACCGCAGACUUUUGGAGUUUGACAGUCAAUAAAAGAAGCUACUUUCUGCUCCCUUACUGACAAGGGUCACCACAGCAGGCAGCACAGCAUAUUUGAUUUUUUUUGCCAGAUGCUCUUCCGGACUCCCCCACCCAGAGGAAGGGAUAUGCUGGACUGGAGACUGAAUACAGUGGAGCAGUCUCAAAACUAUUUGAUUGUUCACAGUUCUGCAUCCACACACAAAAAACCAGGCUAAUACAGAGUUAGUCCUUAAUCCUGUGACAGACUGACGACAGGUCCAGGAUGUACCCUGCCUCUUGCCCUGUGGUAGCUGGGAUAAGUUCCGGACUCCCCGCGAUCCUGAGUAGGA